rnacentral:lncRNA from 1 species
GAGAGGACAGAGGAAUUCGGGGAAGGAAUGACCAGGAUUCGUGGAUGAGAGAUGGGAGGGGUGGUAUAUAUAAACCUGAAAAUAGAGCCGUUGGAAAUAGAGCCGUUAAAAAUAUAGACUAUCAAAUUUAGACAAUCCGCUGGAAAACAGAGGUUGUCUAAAUUCAAUUUUUUUUAAACCAUUGUUUAUAUGAAGAUAUAGACUAUCAAAUUUACACAAGCCACUAGAGAUGCUCUUAGAUGCGAAUGCGACCACGGUCACAAUUGGAGAUGGGGUAAUUGCCUGUCCCUCAUUGAUCGACAACUCCUCGUCCAUAGGAAUCGUUUCCCUAGGCUCCUUUCCGUUGGGCCCAUAGGCCAUAGGAAUCGCCAGCGCACAUUGUCAAUGUCCAAUCCAACGUAGAAUCUCAUUGUCUUUCUAAAGCUGCUUUAUCUUUAGAUUUGGGGCGCCAGCUGUGGCUGUUAAACCCCCCUGGUAUUGCUUGUAUCCCAGCUAGUAACUAUUUUGAUCUAAUAUAUAACCGGUGAUACCCCUCACACACAAAAAACUGGCCGAGCAGCUUGCAGUAUUUAAACCACAGCGCUUGGCGGAAAUCGAGUACACCAAAUGGUAUAGCAGCAGCUAAAUGGUAACAGUAGUGCAUUGUUGCUAGAGAUGCAGUCUUUAUAAAUCGACUAUACUAGGUCGAAUGAUAUAGCAGCAGCUAAACGGUAACAGUAGUGCAUUGUUGCUAGAGAUGCUGUCUUUAUAAAUCGACUAUACUAGGUCGAAGGAUGUACAUAGAGCACGGUAAAAUUCGAUGAUACACAGCAAAAACUCUUGGCAAGAGUGACGGCGCCGAGAGCCGUCUAAGAGAUUGCCUUGGAAGAAUCAGUAGUAUCCGAUUAUGCUGGCCA